rnacentral:rRNA from 1 species
UGCAAGUCGUACGCGUUGGCCCAACUGAUUUGAAGUGCUUGCACGGAUCUGACGUUGGUUUACCAACGAGUGGCGGACGGGUGAGUAACACGUAGGUAACCUGCCCAGAAGCGGGGGACAACACUUGGAAACAGGUGCUAAUACCGCAUAACAAUUCAAAUCGCAUGAUUUGAAUUUAAAAGAUGGUUUCGGCUAUCACUUCUGGAUGGACCUGCGGCGCAUUAGCUUGUUGGUGGGGUAACGGCCUACCAAGGCAGUGAUGCGUAGCCGAGUUGAGAGACUGGUCGGCCACAAUGGGACUGAGACACGGCCCAUACUCCUACGGGAGGCAGCAGUAGGGAAUCUUCCACAAUGGGCGCAAGCCUGAUGGAGCAACACCGCGUGAGUGAAGAAGGUUUUCGGAUCGUAAAGCUCUGUUGUUGAAGAAGAACGUGCAUGAGAGUAACUGUUCAUGCAGUGACGGUAUUCAACCAGAAAGUCACGGCUAACUACGUGCCAGCAGCCGCGGUAAUACGUAGGUGGCAAGCGUUAUCCGGAUUUAUUGGGCGUAAAGAGAGUGCAGGCGGUUUCUUAAGUCUGAUGUGAAAGCCUUCGGCUCAACCGAAGAAGUGCAUCGGAAACUGGGAAACUUGAGUACAGAAGAGGGCAGUGGAACUCCAUGUGUAGCGGUGGAAUGCGUAGAUAUAUGGAAGAACACCAGUGGCGAAGGCGGCUGCCUGGUCUGUAACUGACGCCGAGACUCGAAAGCAUGGGUAGCGAACAGGAUUAGAUACCCUGGUAGUCCAUGCCGUAAACGAUGAGUGCUAGGUGUUGGAGGGUUUCCGCCCUUCAGUGCCGGAGCUAACGCAUUAAGCACUCCGCCUGGGGAGUACGACCGCAAGGUUGAAACUCAAAGGAAUUGACGGGGGCCCGCACAAGCGGUGGAGCAUGUGGUUUAAUUCGAAGCUACGCGAAGAACCUUACCAGGUCUUGACAUCUUGCGCCAACCCUAGAGAUAGGGCGUUUCCUUCGGGAACGCAAUGACAGGUGGUGCAUGGUCGUCGUCAGCUCGUGUCGUGAGAUGUUGGGUUAAGUCCCGCAACGAGCGCAACCCUUGUUACUAGUUGCCAGCAUUAAGUUGGGCACUCUAGUGAGACUGCCGGUGACAAACCGGAGGAAGGUGGGGACGACGUCAGAUCAUCAUGCCCCUUAUGACCUGGGCUACACACGUGCUACAAUGGACGGUACAACGAGCAGCGAACUCGCGAGGGCAAGCAAAUCUCUUAAAACCGUUCUCAGUUCGGAUUGCAGGCUGCAACUCGCCUGCAUGAAGUCGGAAUCGCUAGUAAUCGCGGAUCAGCAUGCCGCGGUGAAUACGUUCCCGGGCCUUGUACACACCGCCCGUCACACCAUGAGAGCUUGUAACACCCAAAGUCGGUGGGGUAACCUUUGGAG